CUUUUUGGAACCCCAGACACUUGGCCUCAGCCUCAUCGAUCCAGCCUGUCCAGAUCCCUCUGCAGAGCCUUCCUGCCUUUCAGCAGAUGAACACUCCUCCCCAACUUGGAGUAGUCUGCAAACUGACUGAGGGUUCACUCAAUCCCCUUGUCCAGAUCAUUGAUGAAGAUACUAAACAGGGCUGGCCCCAACACUGACCCCAGGGGAACACGACUGGUGACUGGCCACCAUCUGGAUUUAACUCCACCACCACUCUCUGGGCCUGGCCAUUCAGCCUGUUUUCUACCCAGUGAAGUGUACACCUGUCCAAGCCAUAAGCAGAUGUUUUCUCCAGGAGAG